GGAGGGUACUUUAUACAUAUCAGUAGGUACCUACUACCUACUAUCAAAUAUCAAUUCAAUAACCAAAGAUGAUUCAUGGAGAUUCGUGAUUGCAAAGUACAGUACGAAGCAAUUAUGUAAUUCAUCUUCCAAUUUUACAAACUUCUUUGACGACCUUUCGUACAUUAAAAUGGUUUAAACGUAAUUAAAAAUGAUUAAAACUUAAUACUAGAUAAAAAAACAAUUAAAAUAUAAGUAGUUAAAACAGUUCUUAAUACUAAUUUUUUUACGCUGCUCGUGUUCUAAAAUAACAAUAAUUGGGAGAAGACUUAUCUUCAUCAUUCGAUCAUCUUUCCAGACUUAUGCAUUUCAAAAAAAAACUAACUCCUAAUCCUAAUUAAGGUUUAGAUAAUUGAACUGCGUGCAGAAUGUGCACGGAGACCAGCUUUUAAAGCGGCUAAGCUCAGUCGUAGAUUCGAACAAGAGAUGCUGGACUCCUCUCUGAGCUCCAGUUUUAUACCUAUCGAGAAUACUCCCGACGUUACCAACACAAUAAAGUUUUUUACUCAGGGUUUUUCGUGGAAAUCGAUUUAUUACACAUAAUAAUUUGACAAUAAUUACGUGUAUAAAUUACAGAAAAAAUUGUCUCUUGAUUCGGAUAACGUUAUUUUAACUAUAUUUAUUUUUAUACAGCUAUUCACAUUUCACUUAUUCGGUUGAUCAUCAUUCCCAUCAUAUUUUCCGGCGUUUGCGGCCUAGAUUAAAGUAAAAAAAAUUAUUAAUUCUAAAAUAAAUAUUCAAUCAAGCGUCACUAAUUCAAACUAUGAAACUUCCCGCUUACCUUUUCUUCUCUAGUCGUUAUAGAUCUGUACUGGCUGCAAGCGUCAAACCCAUCUUCGAUAGUUUGCUUGGUGAAAUUACCUUUGAUUAUCCAACACUCGUUUGCUCUCGUAAACAGGUGGACGCGAGUCUGGUCCAGAAGGAAUUGUGAGAUUGCUUCGCCUUUUCUGAUCCUCUUAUGAAAUAUUGCGCUGGGUUGGCCGAAAAGGUACGUUACUAAGGUACCGUACGCAAAUUCAAUUACCGAACUCCUGUUCGGUUUAAUAAAAAGAGUCUGAUCUGGGGUUCCAGAUUUCUCAUAAAAUAAUUGAACUUGAAAUGAAAAAUUUGUCCCUUGGUUCAAAAAAGUGG